rnacentral:rRNA from 1 species
UUGUGAGGUUAAGCGACUAAGCGUACACGGUGGAUGCCCUGGCAGUCAGAGGCGAUGAAGGACGUGCUAAUCUGCGAUAAGCGUCGGUAAGGUGAUAUGAACCGUUAUAACCGGCGAUUUCCGAAUGGGGAAACCCAGUGUGUUUCGACACACUAUCAUUAACUGAAUCCAUAGGUUAAUGAGGCGAACCGGGGGAACUGAAACAUCUAAGUACCCCGAGGAAAAGAAAUCAACCGAGAUUCCCCCAGUAGCGGCGAGCGAACGGGGAACAGCCCAGAGCCUGAAUCAGUGUGUGUGUUAGUGGAAGCGUCUGGAAAGGCGCGCGAUACAGGGUGACAGCCCCGUACACAAAAAUGCACAUACUGUGAGCUCGAUGAGUAGGGCGGGACACGUGGUAUCCUGUCUGAAUAUGGGGGGACCAUCCUCCAAGGCUAAAUACUCCUGACUGACCGAUAGUGAACCAGUACCGUGAGGGAAAGGCGAAAAGAACCCCGGCGAGGGGAGUGAAAAAGAACCUGAAACCGUGUACGUACAAGCAGUGGGAGCCUCUUUUAUGGGGUGACUGCGUACCUUUUGUAUAAUGGGUCAGCGACUUAUAUUCUGUAGCAAGGUUAACCGAAUAGGGGAGCCGAAGGGAAACCGAGUCUUAACUGGGCGUUAAGUUGCAGGGUAUAGACCCGAAACCCGGUGAUCUAG